UCCCUCAGAUUUUGGCACCAGGUGUGUCUAUCCCCACAUCUCUCCCUCAGGUCUCGGCACCAGGUGUUUCUAUCCCUACAUCUCUCCCUCAGGUCUCGGCACAAGGUGUGUCUAUCCCCAC